CUAGGAUGAUUUAUCUUGCAGAUGGACUUCCGUUAUUAAGUGAGGUGCACAAUACAGUACUUACGUGCGAUAAAAUCACGAUAAAUCCAGAGCAAGGAGAAAUUUUGCCAUCCACAGUGAUGGAAUGCUAUAACACAUGUGUUGAUCUGGAAGCACAUGAUUAGCAAAUUUCUAUGAAAUCAUCUGAGAGCUUCAACUGUUCCGUAUAGGAGCUUCAACCCGAUCUGAUCAUCUGACCAUUUUAUGGAGUGGUGUUGGCUGCAGGAUGGUGUCGCUGCAGGAUGACACAUGAUUAGCAAAUUUCUAUGAAUAUUACCACAGAUGACGACGAGCCCGUCAAUCAAUGGAGGAGGAGGCCAUGGAAGAGAGAAAGGAUGUGUGAAGAUGUUGUGGUUACCGACGGAGCGCUAGCUGUGGGCGACGACCGGGCCAGG